CUACCCUUGACAUGUACGGAAGUCUCCAGAGAUGGAGUCGUGCCCGAAAGGGAACCGUAACACAGGUGCUGCAUGGCUGUCGUCAGCUCGUGUCGUGAAAUGUUGGGUUAAGUCCCGUAACGAGCGCAACCCUUGCCAUUAGUUGCUACAUUCAGUUGAGCACUCUAAUGGGACUGCCGGUGACAAACCGGAGGAAGGUGGGGAUGACGUCAAGUCCUCAUGGCCCUUAUGGGUAGGGCUACACACGUCAUACAAUGGCGGAUACAGAGGGUUGCCAACCCGCGAGGGGGAGCUAAUCUCAGAAAGUCCGUCGUAGUCCGGAUUGCAGUCUGCAACUCGACUGCAUGAAGUCGGAAUCGCUAGUAAUCGCGGAUCAGCAUGUCGCGGUGAAUACGUUCCC
rnacentral:rRNA from 1 species